rnacentral:tRNA from 1 species
GCCUCCGUAGCUCACAGGUAGAGCACCCGCCUCUUAAGCGGGCGGCGAGGGUUCGAGUCCCUCCGGAGGUA